CUGCCCAUGAUCUCGACAGCCUUUUAUAUAACUCGCCAUCGGCGCCGCCCACCACAGGAGAAGAGCGCAAGAAGGGGAGGGCGAUCGGAGAGCAGGGCUAAGCUGGCCAGCUACGUCGGUGGCAAGAAGGGGAGGGCGAUCGGAGAGCAGCGCAAGAAGGUCACCAUGUUCCUGUACUCUGUACUCUGAGUUCUACGACGAGACGAACUGGACCGAAAACAACGCAUGAUAACACAUAUGGUGCUGAUAGUGGUGGGACCCAACCAAAAUCCCAAAGCUUACUUUUGAAGAAUUCAAGACUCUACGGUGAACACUGGUUGAAGCAAUAUUGACUUUUGAUUCAAGGAUGAAGUAUCGGUUUACCGUUGGAUCUUAAAAUAUAUCUUGCAGUAUUAUCCAUUAUAACAGACUCAAGAUCCAAGCAAUCUGCAAAGGCAACAACAGUCACCACACCUUGUGCCAAAGAUUCCAUGGUUUUUCUUCUGAAGGUAACACUGACCCAACAGUUGAGUCUGAGAAGUGAGAUAUUUAAAGCACUAGCAAGAGCAAAACUUAUAGUUGCCAAUAGGAAAGAAUCAUGCUACUCGAGGUGUGGAAGAACCGACAAAGGAGUUUCUGCUACUGGACAGGUAGUUGCAGAGUCCCUAUUAUUAUGGCGAGUAACUCAAACGACAGAGUCUAAUAAAUGCAUGUUCUGGAGUAAUACUUUGUAAAUCAUGGUCUUAGCUUUUAUGUGUUCUGGAGUAAUACUUCGUACUGACUUUAUUUGAUAUAUAAAGAACACUUUUCAAAA